rnacentral:lncRNA from 1 species
AGGUUUUGUAAAACGCGCAGUCAGCGCCUGAGUAGUUCCAGCCCCUCACCGUAACGUCACCGCCAUCGGCGACGCUGUGAGGUGUUCCAGGAGUGAAACUUCUUCUGUUGCUAUAUGCUGUGUCAGCACUGGGAGGCUCCACUGAUUCUCUGUGCUGAUGUAAGUGAAGCAGCAGAAACUGUUUACAGAGAGAAGACUACAAAAAUGCUAUGAAAGUGCUACAAGUGGAUGGGAUGUGUCAUGAAACACAAGGGCAUAGGUUGACAAGAAAAGUCUAAAGGCACUCUAGACAUGUUUCUGAUACGGACUUUUUGGCAAAGCUCCAUAACUUUGCCUCAGAGUUUCUAUGGCAGCUCAGGAACCCUCUAUCCACAAAUGUGAGCCUCGGCAGCACUGGCCGGAGUAAUUCAACUGAUCCCCAUCUCUGCAUGGUGAAUUACCAUGCUUGGCACAUGCAGGCUUGUCUGGAUUGCUGCUGCUCAGCCAGGUAG